rnacentral:tRNA from 1 species
GCACUGGUGGUUCAAUGGUAGAAUUCUUGCUCCCCCUGCAGGGGACCUGGGUUCAAUUCCCAGCCAGGUCA